UAAUCCGACCUAGGCUCAUCUGAUAGCGCAAGGCCCGAAGGUCCCCAGCUUUCUCCCGUAGGACGUAUGCGGUACUAGCGUUCCUUUCGAAACGUUGUCCCCCACUACCAGGCAGAUUCCUAGGCAUUACUCACCCGUCCGCCGCUCUCAAGAGAAGCAAGCUUCUCUCUACCGCUCGACUUGCAUGUGUUAGGCCUGCCGCCAGCGUUCAAUCUGAGCCAGGAUCAAACUCU
rnacentral:rRNA from 1 species